AGGGAAUUUUCCACAAUGGGCGAAAGCCUGAUGGAGCAACGCCGCGUGCAGGAUGAAUGCCUUCGGGUUGUAAACUGCUUUUAUUAGUGAAGAAUAUGACGGUAACUAAUGAAUAAGGGUCGGCUAACUACGUGCCAGCAGCCGCGGUCAUACGUAGGACCCAAGCGUUAUCCGGAAUUACUGGGCGUAAAGAGUUGCGUAGGUGGCAUGAUAAGUGGAGUGUGAAAGCGUGCGGCUCAACCGCAUAUCCGCAUUCCAAACUAUUAAGCUUGAGUAUGAGAGAGGUAGAUGGAAUUUCUAGUGUAGGAGUGAAAUCCGUAGAUAUUAGAAGGAACACCGAUGGCGUAGGCAGUCUACUGGCUCAUUACUGACACUAAGGCACGAAAGCGUGGGGAGCGAAC
rnacentral:rRNA from 1 species